rnacentral:misc_RNA from 1 species
ACCACGCACCCAAAAAGUGAAAAACUCAUAUUCAGCUUGACCAAUCAAAACGGCAGCUGGAGAUGUGGCUGUAAUUUUCAACAACACAAAGAACAGGAAUUUCAACUUAAUGGAAAAUGACUGCAGUGUAAAUCAUCUUAGAUUGUAGCCGAUAGAAAGUAACAGAUGUUCAAGGAUAAAGUAAAUCUAACUGAAGUAAUAAUACUAAAUAUUGCAAAUUUGAAUUAUGGAACAGGCUAUAUAUAACAUUAAAUUCCACUGAAAUUGAGAAAAAUGCAAUUCUUCCUCGUAAGAGCAGA